rnacentral:misc_RNA from 1 species
UACGGAGGGUGCAAGCGUUGUCCGGAAUCAUUGGGUGUAAAGGGUGCGUAGGCUGGUGUCUAAGUCUGGGGUGAAAUCUUGCCGCUUAACGGUAAAAUGGCCUUGGAUACUGGAUACCUUGAAUCUGACAGAGGUCGGUGGAAUUCGUAGUGUAGCGGUGAAAUGCAUAGAUAUUACGAAGAACAUCAGUGGCGAAGGCGGCCGGCUGGGUCAGUAUUGACGCUGAGGCACGAGUGCGUGGGGAGCGAACAGG